rnacentral:rRNA from 1 species
GACGAACGCUGGCGGCGCGCCUAACACAUGCAAGUCGAACGAGCGAGCGAGAGCUUGCUUUCUUGAGCGAGUGGCGAACGGGUGAGUAACGCGUGAGGAACCUGCCUCAAAGAGGGGGACAACAGGUGGAAACGACUGCUAAUACCGCAUAAGCCCACGACCCGGCAUCGGGUUGAGGGAAAAGGAGCAAUCCGCUUUGAGAUGGCCUCGCGUCCGAUUAGCUAGUUGGUGAGGUAACGGCCCACCAAGGCGACGAUCGGUAGCCGGACUGAGAGGUUGAACGGCCACAUUGGGACUGAGACACGGCCCAGACUCCUACGGGAGGCAGCAGUGGGGAAUAUUGCACAAUGGGGGAAACCCUGAUGCAGCGACGCCGCGUGGAGGAAGAAGGUCUUCGGAUUGUAAACUCCUGUUGUUGAGGAAGAUAAUGACGGUACUCAACAAGGAAGUGACGGCUAACUACGUG